rnacentral:rRNA from 1 species
GACGAACGCUGGCGGCGUGCUUAACACAUGCAAGUCGAACGAAGUGGCGAACGGGUGAGUAACGCGUAAUCAACCUGGCCUUCAGAGGGGGACAACAGGUGGAAACGACUGCUAAUACCGCAUACUGUAGGAGGUGAUUGAGUCUGAUUAGGUAGCUGGGGGGGUAACGGCCCACCAAGGCGAUGACCAUGAACCGGUCUGGGAGGAUGAACGGACAAAUUGGGACUGAGGAACUGGCCAGACUUCUACGGGAGGGAACAGUGGGGAAACUUUCGGAAUGGACGAAAGUCUGACGGAGCAACGCCGCGUGAGGGAUGACGGCCUUCGGGUUGUAAAGCUCUGUUAAUCGGGACGCGGUACCGGAAUAGAAAGCAACGGCUAACUACGUGCCAGCAGCCGCGGUAAUUC